rnacentral:rRNA from 1 species
UGGGGAAUUGUUCACAAUGGGUGCAAGCCUGAUGACGCAACGCCGCGUGGGGGAUGAAGGUCUUCGGAUCGUAAACCCCUGUCGAAUGGGACGAAAGACUCGCGAGUGAAUACUUCGCGAGAGUGACGGUACCGUUAAAGGAAGCCACGGCUAACUCUGUGCCAGCAGCCGCGGUAAUACAGAGGUGGCAAGCGUUGUUCGGAAUUACUGGGCGUAAAGGGCGCGUAGGCGGCCCUCUAAGUCAGACGUGAAAUCCCCCGGCUUAACCUGGGAACUGCGUCUGAUACUGGAGGGCUUGAGUAUGGGAGAGGGAUGUAGAAUUCCAGGUGUAGCGGUGAAAUGCGUAGAUAUCUGGAGGAAUACCGGUGGCGAAGGCGGCAUCCUGGACCAUUACUGACGCUGAGGCGCGAAAGCUAGGGGAGCAAACGGGAUUAGAUACCCAAGUAGUCCCUGAGCGGGCUGGCAAGGCGCAU